rnacentral:misc_RNA from 1 species
UACGGAGGGUGCAAGCGUUAAUCGGAAUUACUGGGCGUAAAGCGCACGCAGGCGGUUGAUUAAGUCAGAUGUGAAAUCCCCGGGCUCAACCCGGGAACGGCAUUUGAAACUGGUCAGCUUGAGUCUUGUAGAGGGGGGUGGAAUUCCAGGUGUAGCGGUGAAAUGCGUAGAGAUCUGGAGGAAUACCGGUGGCGAAGGCGGCCCCUGGACAAAGACUGACGCUCAGGUGCGAAAGCGUGGGGAGCAAACAGG